rnacentral:rRNA from 1 species
AACGAACGCUGGCGGCAUGCCUAACACAUGCAAGUCGAACGAGACCUUCGGGUCUAGUUGCGCACGGGUGCGUAACGCGUGGGAACCUGCCCUUAGGUUCGGAAUAACUCCCCGAAAGGGGUGCUAAUACCGGAUAAUGUCUUCGGACCAAAGAUUUAUCGCCUUUGGAUGGGCCCGCGUUGGAUUAGCUAGUUGGUAGGGUAAAAGCCUACCAAGGCGACGAUCCAUAGCUGGUCUGAUAGGAUGAUUAGCCACACUGGGACUGAGACACGGCCCAGACUCCUACGGGAGGGAGCAGUGGGGAAUAUUGGACAAUGGGCGAAAGCCUGAUCCAGCAAUGCCGCGUGAGUGAUGAAGGCCUUAGGGUUGUAAAGCUCUUUUACCCGGGAUGAUAAUGACAGUACCGGGAGAAUAAGCUCCGGCUAACUCCGUG